UUAAUAAUCUGAAACCAGUAGAAAUUAACACAAUAAGUGAUAAGAUUGUUUACCAAUUCUCAGAUUUCUCCAUGUAAAUAUUGACAGAGUCUUCGAUUAUAUUUUCUAUCUAUUGAGGAGAAUAUACUAAAUACGAAUGCGACUAUCUUCACCCACACUAUAUAAUAUCUAGUUCUCAUGAUAAUUUAAUCAAAAUAAUAUAAACAUCACUAUGAAUGCGGUCUUAUUGCAUCUGUUUUUUUUUCAAAUAAAACAAUCAUGUUUGAAUAUUAACUAUUAUUGAAAACUAAAUAUAGAAGAAAUUGAUUUGUGUUUCGUUGAAUUUGAAGAAAUCUAAUCCUUAUCACACUUUUCUGUGUGCAAAGUUAUGCGAAUUUAAAUAAAAGUACAUAAUCACCAAACAUAUUUGCACAAAAUUAACAAUAUUUACUAGAAUAUUCAGUUACUAUCUCUGUAAUGGCGUCCACGUGUUUUUUAACUUUUGUCUUAUUAUUUAAUAUAUUUAGCAAUGCCAUUGCACUGCCCUAUAGAUUGAAAUGUUGCCAGCCUAAAGAAUUUGGAUCUGAUUAUUUAGAUUUGGUGACCUAUGUCGACUUGGUGCCAUUGAAACUGCCAAUCUCAAGCGCGGAAUUCAACCAUCUUAUAUUAAAUGAAUUGAAUGAAAUACAUAUGUCACGGAGAAAAAAGAGUACGAAAAUUACGACGAUUACUGACAACUAAUUAUUUUAAACAUGCCUAAAACACACCAACAGAAAGUGGUCAGGUUGGCUAUGACUACUUAGAAUUGGCUGGCCUAAUCUCUUUAAAGGACAACCAAAUAGUGAACCACAAAAAUUUGCAAAAAUUAACGAAAAAAUACGAAAUACCAAGUUGGGAAUUCUUUUACGAUUGCCACAUUAUAAACAAUUGUAUACAAGAUAUUAAAUUGACUUAAAAAAAUUAUUAGUAUUUUUAAAUAUAAUAUAGAAGUUGCAAUUGUGUGUGUGUUAUUAUUUAUUUACUACUCAACAUAAUUCUUUCAGAUUGAAAAACUGAAUACUUCCAAGGGACUUAUUUAUUUCAAAUGAAAUUUGUUUGUGUAGACUCCAAUUCUGUUGAUUAAUUUAUUAAAUUGGGAUGCUAAAUA